rnacentral:lncRNA from 1 species
AAAUAGGGGGCUUAUAGUGAAGGAAUCACUGGUCUUCACCUUACAAUUCCACAGAGACUUCUCCAUUUUUCAAUUUUCUUGACCAACAAUAAACAACACAGCACACAGACGCACAAGACACUCACAAAAACACUCAAAUUGACAUAAUUCACAUACAAAAAUAGGAUAGAGAGAGAAGGAGUGAGAAAGAUAGAGCAUCGAGGGAAAAUAAAAAAGGGAGAGAAGAGAUCGAGAGAAAAAAAACAACGGGCUGACUGUUCCGGCAGUCUUCAACAGAAAAGCGCCACCACCGUACCAGCCGCAUCGUCUUUCACCUAUUCACGUCGUCAUCGAGUCGUCGAGGCUCCAGAGAAGCUAAAUUGACAACCCAGCAACAGCAACGAGCUUCGUUUUGACCUAAUUCUAUUGAACCUAUCACCGGUAAAAGUAAUUGAAUACCCUUCUCCACCGUUGUUACUGUUCCGGCGGUGGAAGUCUCUGUCUGGCGACCACGCUCAAUUGGGUUUUCCUUGGCUGAGUCGAGUGGGGCGAGACAGAGUUGAGGGUCGAGUUUGGUUCUUUAUUAAGGUUCAGUUCAAAGUUCCGGUUGUGGCUCGUCAAUUUGGUCUCUUGGCUGCUUUUGAUUUGUGGUUCGACUCCUGAAUUGCUUCUCGUUCAAUCUGAGUUCGUAAAUUGCAGUAAAAAUCUCCACAUUAAGGUCCAUAUUUUAUCUUAUUCUUAUUCUCCGUUAAUUCUUUAUUUUGGUGUGUGAUUGAUUGUUAUCGUCUCAAAUUUCUCUUAUUUUGGGUGUGAUGUGAAUGAUUAAUGUGGAAUUAUUUGGUCGUAGAUUGUCGAAAAAUGGUAAUCGUGAACUGUUAUAUUGUAACUUCGAAUGAAAUUUGGGAGAAUUGAUAAUCGAAUAAGUUGAGCAUUGAUUAGAUUUGAUUCAUUGUUGGAUAUGGUUGAAAUUGAAAGUAUCAUGUUUUAGAUCGUUAAAUGGGUAGGCAAAUACUAAGUUUGGAUAGGCAAAUUGUAGAAAAUGGAAGAUGGUGAUUUGUUGAAUGUGUGAAUAUUUGUUGAAUGGUUCUUUCUAUCUUAAUGCACAGAACUGAGAAAAUGUAUUCAUUUUACCAGAGAAUGCCCCGAAGGACUUGUAUUGAUUUAUCCGGGGAAUGCCCCGAAGUAUCAUGUACGAAGAGGAGGCUCGUGAUCAAGGCCCGAGGCAUCGUGUAAGGCAUUGGAGCGUAGUUUUAGGAUUAUCUUAGAAUCUGAUUUAUAUUUUCGCAUUUUUUUAUUUUUGGACAAUAUAUUUGGACUGGACACAAUAUUUUGGAUUUAUUUUAUUUUGUUUUA